UUCUUCUCCCAUAUUAAAUCCUCUUUUAUUUCAGAAUCCGUUUCUCAGUUUCAAAAAAAGGAUUUGUUUCUCUCUUUCUCUCUCAUUUUCGGCGUUCUCUCUCUCGACAUCAAUCUAUUUCCUCCCUCGCUUGAGAUCACCAUCCCCUCCUUCGCUUUCAUCUCCUCCCUCCAUUGCCAUCCAUCCCAGUCGCAGCUCUCCCCACGGUGCGACGUUGACGACCCAACUCUCCUCGCGAAGUCUAUAAUAGAGCAAGGUCCCCGACCGAGAAUCAUCGUCGUCAGAGCUUCUCCUCGCUCUGCUCCAGUAACUCCGUUAGAAUCCUUCAAAUCCCCGAUUUCGAUUGUGGAUGACAAGAUUGGAGACUGAAAAAUGCAAUCCAGAAGCCGCUACUCACAGCCACACUGAGCUCUCACCCCAUGGUCCAUCAGAACUACUUCAAACCCUAAUUUUGAGCCGCCAAGCCCAUCUAUUCUUCCCUAAUUUUGGAACUGCGGCUCAAAAUGGAAUCCCGUUAGUUUCUCCCGCUUACUAAGGUGUCUGAACGGGAAGAACAUUCAGGGUAUUCCAUGUGAGAACUUGAACAUCACAAAAUAUGAUUGAAGACUGAGCAUAGGAAGAGCUAUACGCAGGUUGCAUUGCAUAUGUUCUCUGUUUCCAUGACUGAUUGAUUUAUGCGUCCUCUUCACUUCUGUUAUCACACUGGGAAGAUGUUCUCUGAGGAGCCGGAUAGAGAUGAUGAUAGCCAAGUAACUCUUUCAGGCGGGUAGGUGUCUAGGUCUGAAUCCUCCUCUUCACCGUGGAUGCCAUUAUGACCUCAUCGCCAUCUCAUGUCGCAUGGGUAUUGGGAGAAGCACAAAAUGAUUGGUGGAAAUCAUGUAGACAAGCAAGAGGAUUAAGGAGAAAAAGCAAACAUGCAGCUUCAACAGCAAGUUUGACAUCUGAAGAUCUAACUUUGACCAUCAACUCCAAUGAGCUCUUUCGUUUGUUUUGCUGAGUUUUUAUGAAUUUUGCUGAGUUUUUAUGAAGAGUGAAUGAUGAAAGAGGUCUUGGAGACACCGGGGGAGUAGAGAUUCAUGUCUAUUAUGGAUGAAAACUAGAAACAAAGUUAUGAUGGUGAAGCUCAAACAGUUUCUAUGAGUGAUCUUUGAUUGAAAGUAGCUGCGUGUUUAGAAGGAGAAAGCUCUUUAGGACUAUGGAUCAGCUGCUGGAACAGAAGGAAAAUGAUCUUGAAAGUCAUGGCCUGGAGCAGGAGAAGCUUCACUUUGAGAUGUACUGUUUCUGUUGGGGUUUGCUAUGUCUACAUAUAUAGAGCUUAAUUGGACAUGAAUGAGUUCAAUUCCAUUAAUGGAAUGGAGAAAAGCUCUCAAAUAGAUGAGUGUCUGAACCAAUUGGAAAGAAAUUUCACGUUGAAGAAAACAUUGGCAAGUUUGCAAUGACAGGUUUACUCCCAUUGCUGAUCGGGGUGGUUACCUUCGAGACUCGCACGAUAUCGCUCAUAUCAGUGCUGCAUGUGUUAGAGGAAAACUGAUGUAGCUUUGAUUUUGUUACUUUAUUUUUGAAUGAGCUCAACUCCAUUAAGGAAAUGGAGAAAAACUCAAAUAGAUGAGCCUGAACCAAUUGGAAAGAAGUUUCAUGUGAGAAGAUGAAUCUCUACUAUGUUACAUAUUAAUACAGAAGAAUUCAAGGCAUUAAAUAGAGUUCUAAUUGAUUAGAGAAGAAGCCUUUUAGCUUAUUGGCUUUAUGGAUGUUAUAAGAAACGAGGUGGAUCAGGAUACUACUGAGGCAACUUUCUCCAAGGUGUGUUAUUUGAUGAAGUCUGGGCCUGGAGGCUGAAAAUGGCACUAAUAGAGAAUAAACUUGAGUAUAAUGUCAUUAGUUUUUUCAUAAAUUUUUAAAGGCAUUGUAGUUACAUUGUUAUUAUGAUUGUACGUUCAUUCUUGAACAGAGAGUGACUGAGCAACAGGAUAAGGAAGGAUCUGAAGUUGUUUUAGAGGAUGAAGUGCGAACUCAGACUAUUUAAUCUCUCUCUAUCUGUUUGUAUGUUUUAUGAGUUCAGGUUGAGAUUGGUCAUAUGUAUUAUGUCUCAAGAACUUUUGGAUGCACCGGCUCAAGUGUGCAUGUGAUUGCAUAAAAGAAAUGGAGGGAAGUGGGUAAUGUAUUCAGGAUCUCAGCUAUGAUACCUUAGUAAUUAUUAUGUGGCACAUCUGAGCUAUUCUCAGCAAUUCUUAUGAUAAGAUAGACAUGUUCCCUUGCUAUGUUGAGUAUGUAUUUAUAUAGUGUGAUGCCAAUCUAUUCGUUUAUUCCAAAAACUGAUAGUGAACUUAGUUGUCCUUAGUGUUAUAAAUAUUGUGAUGAAAUAUUUAUAAAUUAAUAGAAUAAAAGGUGGUUGAGUUAAUAAAAAUUGUAGGGUUGUUAUGAUAAGAUAAAGAUGGAAUGCAAUGUAAACAUGGUAAGGUAGACAUGCCGAUAGUUUAUGUCUCAAGAUGAUGGUUUCAAGAAACUAUGAUAAACUCGCUUAUGUUUCUUUCAGGUUCUCUACCAUGAUGAAUGCAUUAACAUAGAAGCACUUAUGUUAGAUGACUUCAAGACUUGAGACUUUCAUGGCUAAUGUUGGAAAAACUUGAAGUAUUUGAAAUAUUAGAUUCGGAGUAGUUAUUAAAUUGCAGGAGAUAGAUCACCCAUUGUUGUAUUUUGUUUUUUUUUUACUAUGAAAAGCUAGGAUCAUUUAAAUUCAGUCAUUUCUGUAAGAACCAAUGUAAUUAGUGUGGUCCAUUCAUGAAUCUCUUUCAAUGAAAUUAUCCCUGCAGGGUCUUUGUUACAUGUUUU